UGUAACAACGGUUCACGUUCGAUCACCGAAGUUAAGCAACGUCGAGUCUGUUCAGUACCUAGAUGGGUUGCCACUUGAGAACACCAGUUGCUU